rnacentral:lncRNA from 1 species
UGGACCUGUUAAAGAGGAACAACUGACUGGGACCUGUUAAAGAGGAACAACUGACUGGGACCUGUUAAAGAGGAACAACUGACUGGGACCUGUUAAAGAGGAACAACUGACCUGUUAAAGAGGAACAACUGACUGGGACCUGUUAAAGAGGAACAACUGACCUGUUAAAGAGGAACAACUGACUGGGACCUGUUAAAGAGGAACAACUGACUGGGACCUGUUAAAGAGGAACAACUGACUGAGACCUGUUAAAGAGGAACAACUGACUGGGACCUGUUAAAGAGGAACAACUGACUGGGACCUGUUAAAGAGGAACAACUGACUGGGACCUGUUAAAGAGGAACAACUGACCUGUUAAAGAGGAACAACUGACUGAGACCUGUUAAAGAGGAACAACUGACUGGGACCUGUUAAAGAGGAACAACUGACUGGGACCUGUUAAAGAGGAACAACUGACUGGGACCUGUUAAAGAGGAACAACUGACUGGGACCUGUUAAAGAGGAACAACUGACUGGGACCUGUUAAAGAGGAACAACUGACCUGUUAAAGAGGAACAACUGACUGGGACCUGUUAAAGAGGAACAACUGACUGAGACCUGUUAAAGAGGAACAACUGACUGGGACCUGUUAAAGAGGAACAACUGACUGGGACCUGUUAAAGAGGAACAACUGACUGGGACCUGUUAAAGAGGAACAACUGACCUGUUAAAGAGGAACAACUGACUGGGACCUGUUAAAGAGGAACAACUGACUGGGACCUGUUAAAGAGGAAUAAGGUACAAUAAGAGUUUCCUAUCUCUUCUGCAUGUUAACCAUUUAUAGCCAUAUCAAGAUGUCUGUGGACACCAACUCCAAUCUAAAUGUCUGAUUGACUUUAACACGUGUUUUUUCACUGUGCUGUAUACUGUGGGUUAAUUCCUUUGCUUCUGGCAGAGUUCUGGACGAACACAAUGAUGGAUGCAAAUCUGUACAAUCUGAUGCACUAUGUUUUUUUUUAUAUAAUACAUUUCUUUUUAAAUGGUAGGAUUUGUUUUCAUAGGUAGAUGACACUGGCUGCACAUUAUUUUUCAUACGUCGAUUUGUAUUGUAUACUAUGCGAGUAUGCACUUAUACAGAGAAGAAUGUGUGAGAUUACUGACUGACUGAGUGAGUGGAAUGGAGAAAUGCCCACUGGAAGGUUAGAUGUAAUACAACGAUGUACCACAAGGUGGCGCGGCGUUCAUGUAAUACCACGAUGUACCACAGGGUGGCGCAGCGUUCAUGUAGUACCACGAUGUACCACAGGGUGGCGCGGCGUUCAUGUAAUACCACGAUGUACCACAGGGUGGCGCGGCGUUCAUGUAGUACCACGAUGUACCACAGGGUGGCGCAGCUAUCUUACUUCAUAAUGGCAUGCAGCGCAGUCACUUUAAAAACACGUCACACCACUCGGGAGCAUGGAGCCAAAUUUUAAUAUAAUUGCACAGAAUUAUAACCUUGUUUAUUACUGGUAUUGCUUUGAUAAUUUAUAAAGUGUAGUUUGGUCUUGUUUUUGUGAAGUGUUGCUUUCCAAUCACUUUGGGAUUAGAUGUUUUAUUAACCUGAAUUCUUGUAAGGAAAUAAAAUGUGAUUUUUGAAUAAUGUUUCUUGUGUACUUUUAUCUACACGGUGAAGUGGUUUUGGAAUAAACAAUAUAACAGUUUGUUGUUCGUUCUAGAAACUAUGAAAAGGUUUCUCUCUGUGUCUUACACACACACCACACACACACACACACUACACACACACACACACACACACUACACACACACACACACACACACCACACACACACUACACACACACACACACACUACACUACACUACACUACACACACACACCACACUACACACACACACUACACACACACAAUACACACACACACACACACUACACUACACUACACACACUACACACACACAC